GUUGCUGAAUUCUGUUUGCUAAAAUUUUGUUGAGGAUUUUUGCAUCUAUGUUCAUCAGUGAUAUUGGCCUGUAGUUUUCUUUUUUGUGUUGUCUUUGUCUGGUUUUGAUAUCAGGGUAAUGGUGGCCUUACAGAAUGAAUUUGAGAGUGUUCCUUUGUCCUUGUUUUUUUUGAAUUCUUUUUUGAGAAGGAUAGGUAUAAAUUCCUCUUUAUAUGUUUGGUAGAAUUCCCCAAUGAAGCCAUCUGGUCCUGGAGUUUGGUUUGCAGGGACUUUUAUUACUUCAGAUUCUAUCUUUUCUAGUGAUCGAUCUGUUCAAAUUGCUUGUUUUUUCUUGAUUCAGUCUUGGCAGGCUGUAUGUUUCUAGAAAUUUGUUUCUUCUAGGUUGCCCAGUUUGUUGGCAUAUAACAUUACUUGUCAUUUAUCCCCCCAUCCUCUUCAACUUAUGUUUUGAUUAAUUUUAUCCUUUAACUAAUAUCUCUGAUCGCUUAAUGUUUACAGUUCGUGUUGGAACUUAUUAGAAUAAGUUCCAAUGGAACUGAUAAUGGAAUAAGUUCCAAUGGAACUAAUAAUGGAAUGCCUUAUUAGACAGCUUACUGGGUAUAGGUAAGCAUGUAACAUAGUACUAUAGUACUAUAUCUAUAGUACUAUAGAUAGAUAGUACUAAUCUAUAGUACUGUAGAUUAUGCAUGCAUAAUCCAGCAUGCAGUGGAUUUAAAUGUCACAAAAUACUCAGAGAGCUGGACCUUGACUGGAGAAAUGAGACAGCACUUGUGUCUGUCUGCCACACAAGAAUGCUGGCAGCAUUUAUGGAGUGCGUACUGUGUGUGAGGUAUGUCAUUUAGACCUCAGAAGUAAGGCCGAUGCUAGAUGACCUUAACGCUACAGAGGAGGUCCCUGAUGCCACAUAGGUCGCUUCCAGGUGUAAGUUCCCCUGGCAGCAGUGAGGCGCACAGCCGCACGCUGGGGCUCCGUGGCCAGCACUCUAGAGGUCCUUGGGUUGCCGUCAGAAAGUGGGGACGUCCUGGAGCCACAGUGGGGUAAGUGGUCCUGCAUUCACACCUGAAGGAGAUGGGAGCUGAGUGAGAGUAAGGUACUCACCUGGACUGGCUCAUAUCUUCCCCCUCUGGACAUCACCAAGUUUCUGGCUGCUGUCUUAUUUUAAACCACAGUUUGUCCUUGCGUAAGGUAAGUCGCUUUGUGAUUUGAGAGCCCAGUUCCCCUUCCCCCUUUAUUUUCUGUCUGUCCAGACACCAGCCUCUCUCCCGUCUGCCUGGUGAUUUGGGAUUCUUGAGCCAGGGGUUCACAGGACUGCUCUGGGGCUUCAGAAGUAGCUUUCUCCAUUUCUCACAUCCAGGAACAGGAAUUUCUAAAGAGAAAACCAUCUUUUGCUUCCCUACAUUCAGCUCUGUCACAACCUAAGAGUCAGUGUAGAGUUAGGCAGUGAUUCUAGGUUAGUCACUCACAGGAAGCCACACCCAUUGUUACGGGGCGCUUGUUGUGUGCUGAUAACCUUGUCAUUUUGUCCUUAAAACCACAUGAGGUGGUGUAACGUAAUGCCUCUUCACAAAAUAAUGUUAAUUUUAGGGUCCAGCCUUUCACAGUGAAGGUGAGAAAACUAAGACCCAGAGAGCUCCCAAGGUGGUUUCUUCCUCUGUUUCUGCAUGUCCAGCAUAAUAGCCAGGAGCCACAUGUGGCUGUUUAAACAGCACGAGAAAUUGAACUCCUCGGAUGUACUAGCCACAUGGCAACCACUUAAGAACUUGCCUGUGGCUUAUGGCUGCCACACUAGAGGGCGUCUUCUACAAGGCUGUCACCUCAGGACAUCGAGCCGUGGCUGUGUCAGCUGGCCCUUCCGGACUCCAUGGCAUUGGUCUUCAGAAUCCCCGCUGACCUCCAAGUUUUCUCUGCAGGUUGCCAAACCUUCCAAGUUACCCCCAGGGUGGCACACACGACUAAAAGCCGGAGUUUGAAGGUGCUGGACUUCCACGUAUCUGGAAUAUCUAGGGAUCCUAAAUGGAGCUACAACCGUGCCCUCUCCAGAUCCACUGCAAGGAAUGCUGCUUAAAUGAUGGGCCCGGCGCCACUGGCAGCCCCCACCCUGGCAGUUUCGGAGGACCUGCCAUCAGAGGGACGCGCUCACCAGCAUUCUGCUUCCUGUGGCCCAUGACAAGGCUGUGUGCUGUGGUGAAGCUAGAUAUCCGAGUGUAGAGUGCCUUCUCCCAGAUACUGUUAUGGGCAGAAGUGCGGUGUCGUGGGGAAGCCCUUAUUUACAGUUGGUCCUGCCUAGUCGGGGUCAGAGAGGAAGGUGGGUUUUUCAUUUUUAAGUCUGUUCUUUUCUUUGCUCUCCUCUGUGCUCACCCACAGUAUCGUAGACACUGUGUAACUGACCUUCCUUCAGCUGCAGCCAUGUUGCCUUGCCCACGCGCUGCCCCAAGGCCUCCCGUACCCUCAGCGUUCAUUUUCAGCAGCGAGCUCUGCGCAGGAGCCCCCGGCGCUGUCCUGACUGUAGGCGCAGCGCUCACAGCAGCGUGCUCACACCCGAGCUGUCCAGUGUCUGACUGUGUCUUCAUGGGAAAGCAUAUACGGAUACUUGUGUCUUAGGUCAUUGGAAAGUGUACUUAACUUCUUAUUUCUGUCUUUCCCAUUCCUGGCUUCCUGUCACCACCUUUUCCCCUCACCAAAAACAAAACAAAAACUGAGCCAUUAUGUAAUUUUAAAAAAUUGUAUCCCUCCCCCAGGCACUUAAAUCUUAUACUGUUAUUUGUAAGUAGUACUGCUUAAUUAAAAGAAACCCUUAGGAAUUCA